UACGAAGGGGGCUAGCGUUGUUCGGAAUCACUGGGCGUAAAGGGCGCGUAGGCGGCCGAUCAAGUCGGGGGUGAAAGCCUGUGGCUCAACCACAGAAUUGCCUUCGAUACUGUUUGGCUUGAGACCGGAAGAGGUUAGUGGAACUGCGAGUGUAGAGGUGAAAUUCGUAGAUAUCGAGAGGAACACCGGUGGCGAAGGCGGCGAUCCGGACGAUGACUGACGCUGAGACGCGAAAGCGUGGGUAGCAAACAGG
rnacentral:rRNA from 1 species